GGGCGCAUAGUGGAGUGGUUACCACGUUGGUCUUCGAUUUAAGUGUUAUGGCUGACCUAAUGCUUACGUAAUCUGAACCAAAGUUCGUCAGUUCGAUCCUGGCUGUGCUCG